rnacentral:sRNA from 1 species
CAAUUAAAUCCAAAACGACACACAUAUACCGACACGUAGCUCUGGGUGCCUAAGACAAACUUGGUUUGUGAUUAGGUUGGGUUAUGGGGUGUAUGGAGGUUUAAC